CCCAGGCAGCUGAGACUACAGGCUUGCACCACUAUGCUCCACUAAUUUUUUCUAUUUUUAAUAGAGAUUGGGUCUUUAGAAUGUACACAUCUAGGGCAAAGAGAGAUAUCUAUCUGUAUUCCUAUUUCAGAAUGAACACUGCCAGGCACACAUGUCCCAUGACAAUGGCAGUAAGCCUGCCCAGGGGAGGAAAGACACUUAGGACACUUAGCGCUUGCUCAGGCUGAUCACAAACUCCUGACCUUAAGCGAUCCUCCCGCCUCGGCCUCCCAGAAUGUUACCAUUACGGGCAUGAACCACCACGCCCGGCCAAGAAUGUUAAUUUUUGAAUGGAAGAGGGUGGAUUUAACAACAACAACUACCACAACAACUAAAAGCCUGGGACCGAGAGCAAUGACUGAAACCCUUUUGCUGAAGUAUGUAUGGAAUAGUGUCACUUCCUAAGUGUCUUUCCUCCCCCAGGCUUACUGCCAUCGUCAUGGGAAAUGUGUGCCUGGCAGUGUUCAUUCUGAAAUAGGAAUACAGAUAGGUAUCUCUCUUUGCCCAAGAUGUGUACAUUCUAAAGAGCCUGGAGACAAUUCCUUGCUAUCUUCCUGAGAAAUUAACUUCUGUUUUUCCGUUCCUGUGAGUCAGAAGAGGAAUCAUCACAUGCUCCCAGUCACGAGUGUAUGGGAAGAAACACAGGCUUCAUUCAGGGUCUUCACCAACUGGGUAGGGUUUGAUUGGUCAUGGAGGGAAUUGUCAUUGCUCAUGUGCAGCUGUAUGUAGCACAUACAUUUCUUCAAGUCUGGAGCAAACUUGGCCCCUUGUUCCUGACUAAUCCACUGAGUAGAAUGGCUAAGGAGAACAAUAACAGAUAUUGCUAAUUAAGUAUUAAUCAAAGACAUUAUUCUUUAAAUACAUUCUCAUUUUUUUUUUCUCCCAAUAAUCAAUAAUCCCAUGACAUCUGGCUUAUUUUUAUCCUUGUUUCACUGAGGAGAAAUUGGUGGGCUCUCAGGGAUUAAUUAAGUAACUUGCCCGAGCGCACAACUUUAGGAAUGUACAGCCAGGACUCAAACGCAGAUGAGUCUGACUGUAGAGGUUGUGUUCUGGUGUUCUUAACCACCAUUCUGCUCUCUUUUGAUACCAUAAUUGUCUUCUUGUCUCAAAAAAUGUUCUUGUCUGUGGUAUAAUCCUUGUUUUCUUAUUAUUUGUGGUAUACAGGAGCUUCUUUCUUCUUACUCCUGCUCCCAGUUCCCUCCUUAUUAAUCAGUAUGCACCUUUUUGUGCCCGAGCCCCUCUUUCCUCUUGCCACCCCGCAGCCCACCUCACGUUUGAAUAAAGCCCUAUGGAGGACCAGUGUGGGCAGCCGUGUGCAUAGGGUCAUAGGGAGACACAGUGUGAUGCAGAAGAACGGAAGCUUCUAUGGCAGGUCUAGGUUCUUUUUUCUUCCUGCUCCUCCCCUCUGUACCCCAGUGUGCUUUUUUUUUUUUUUUUUUUUUUUUUUGUCCAUUUCUGCUUCUGUAUGCCCUUCCAUCAGCCUCAGAGCCUUUUCCUUUGGCAUUUUGUCUGCAGUCAUUUGUAUCUCCUGGCAUCUGGGCUGUAGAUCCCCAGUACUGAAUCAAUUUUCAAAAGUGGGGAAAAUGGCUAUUAUUUAGGUUAUGUAUUGGGGCUGUUUGAGUUGAGAAUUAUAUAGAGUAAUGUUUGGUAAAGGAGAUAGGAAACAGGACAGUGACAUAGUCUCAGCCUGACUCUCAGAUGUGGGAUAAUGGUCCAGCGUCUCCAGUCCUCCCACCAUCUUCCUUAAAUCCCUUCCAAAGAAAAAUGCGAUCAUGGAAGGUUGGGGCAGGGAGUGGGCUGAAGCUGCUCUCCCUGAGUUCAUGUAUUAAUUUAUUCACUAAGCAGUUACCAGCCUACGCUCCUCAAGAUCUCUAAAUCUCAUUGAAUCACCAACUCUUUUAUUGAAAGCUAUGCAGUCUUUAUUCAUAAAAAUCCACAGAAUAUAUAAGAUAGUUUUGCAUGCAACUUGAGGAGAUUCAAAGACCCUUUGAAGGCCACAUGAAGACCCCCAGCUGGAACCCCUACCUUUCUUGUUUAAUCACAUAGUCUCCAAAUCAAGGCCUUUUCCAUUAUAAAUACAGAAACUCAACCCUGACUCGGAUGGAGUUCAGCCACAUUCUGUUUGCUCAUCACUGAAGCUUUCUGAGAUAGUUAAAAAAGAAAGUAACUGGGUAGAAUUACUUGUGAUCAAAAAGAUGUCCAUAGCAAAGGUGCCAUCUUCAGAUGAACUGCUUUUUGAGCCUUGGUGUGAAAGGUCUCUAAAAUAUUUUAUGAGAAAUUUAAAUCCCUUGAUUGAAACAAAUAUUCUAGGUGGGGGGGGGAGGAAAAAGAAAAUCUCAGUAGUGGGUUAGGUAUUUGCAAACGUUUUGGUCAUUUUGAUAAAGGUAAUACCAAUACAAUGAGCUCUCACAUCUGUAGGAGUGUGUGUGUGCGUGUGUGUGUGUGUGUGUGUGUGUGUGUGUGUGUAUCUAAAGAAAAUGAAAUUUUUCAUAUCUAAAGUUAAGGAGCAUUUUCCUUUGGGGUUCUUUAGUUCACAGCAGUAUGACAGCUGAUCAGAAAACUGCCACACUAUGACUCUGUUUUCAUAUUAUUUAAUUAAAUGAUUUAAAGUUUCUCUGACAAAUCUGGUGCAGCCUUUGUGCCUCUGGGAAGAAUCUUAGGUAACCAGGGAGAGAACAGUGGCACGUAGGCCUUACUUGCUGUUACGGUUUAUGUUGCUGACUUGAUAUGUGUGACUUCCAUCAACAUAAACAGAAGUUGGCAGAUCACAAAACAAUGGAGAAAAUUUUUUGCUGACUUUCCUCCUGGUUACACUCUCACUGCUCCCUCCCCAUUAAGAGUAACAGGAGAAUUCCUCAGCUAGAGUGGCAUUGUGUUUCCAAGUAGAAAACCAAAGCCUCCUGUAAACUGAGCUGAGGUAGGAAGGGCAUGAAACCCAAGGGCUGGAGGUUUGUCAUUUGUUGUUAAGAAAUGUGGCAUAACUGGUUGAAGAGGCUCAUUGUCCAGAGCUUGCCUAUAUAAGUUAUUCUGGAAUAUUCCACGGAAAGGAAAAGCAGCCAAGGUGUGUCUUCACCUUUCCAAAGUCUUUGGUGGUUCCUGUCCACUGGGCAGCGUGCUGUGCUUCACACUCAUUGUCUAGAUGUAGCGUGGAGGACCUAGCUUCUUUCAGGCCUGGCAGAUCUGUUCUCGGGGACAAGGGAAGGCUGAGGCUGCAUCUGCAUCGCUUGCUCCUGCCCUGCCUGCCUGCCUGCCAGGGCACCACACAGAGCCUGGGCUUUCAGGCACACUUUGAGUGAAGUCAUUCUUCCCUGAAAACCGAGAUGGGAAAUUUCUCUCAUCAAGUAAGAAUUGCUGAAGAAGCUUAAGCAAUGGCUAGCUGAGAAGUAAGCUGGGAGCGUGUUCUUUCAAGCACAGGCCUAGAAAGGGAUCACAUUGCUCUUACUUCUAUUGUUUCCUCUACUAACAAAUUAUUAAGGUAAAUUUCCACUGGAAAAAAAAUGGCCAGUAUUUGAAAAUGUAAUAGAGUGCAUAUUCAUUAUGAAACAUGUAAGACAGACUGUGAGAAGAUCAGGCAGUUUGCUGAGAACCAUCAUUAAGUGUAAUUGGUUUAUUUACUUGUUUAUCGGGUAUCUGAGCAGAAACCAGCAGGACUGGACAUGCCCAGUUCCUCUUUCUUUUCCCUUUCUUCUGCCCAAAGGGCUCAUUCUAAUUCUUCUUCAUUCCUUCAGCACUCUCAUAUUCUCCACGUCCCUUCCUCUCCUGGAAUCCUGCUCUUAGGAAAGAAACAGAUCUUGAUCACUUAUAGCUUAUAAACUUAUAUUCACCUUACUGUGAAUAUAAGGAUACUGUGUAACCUGGAUAUUGAUACUCCCAGAGACAUUUGAAUAUAUCACUUACUGUGAAUUAGAAGACUUUACCUCUUUUAUAAAGGAAGUAGACGCCAGUACUUAAAUACAUUUCAAAGAUAAACUUGUACCUUUUGUGCUUUGCCCUGUUUUUGGGUUAUGUGGAUUAAUACUGUGACUCUAUGAGCACAGAGUGUGUAUGAUUAAGCCUCAUAAACAGCACUGUCCGGGGAGAAACGGGGACCUGCAAAAUUCUGGCUUGCCACUAACUUGCACCGUGGCUUUGGGAGUGUCAGCUCACUGCAUCGUUGUAAAAUGAGAAAGUUGUGUUAGGUGAUCUCUAAGGGCCCUUCUAGAUCCGAGAGUCCAAGGACGAAGUUUAGUGCUAAAGGGGCAGGAAUCUGUGUAGACAGAUUGCAGGUGCUCGCCAGUGGAUGGUAUUGGAGUAACAAGGCUGCCUAUCGUGGCCUUUAGUCCCUACAACUCCAACAUAUAAAGGAAAAAAUGUUAUAAUUUUAACAAAUAGUACUGUACUUUCCCUUAGGGAGGGAAGUCCCUUUGUGUGCGAAAAUACCCUGAUAAGACACUUGGUGUAAAACACUAAAAGCAUUAGUGAAUGGGAACCCAGACCACACAAAGAGACGGUUAAUCUUUUGUACAUGAAAAAGUAAAAGAAAUGUGUGUUUUCUUCAUCACUGGGCAGGGGUGGAAAAGAAAAUAGAGAAAUAGAGACAAGAGAAGGAGGAAAGAGAGUAUUUGAUAAAAUGGCAGAAGACUCGGUGCUAUGUAUUCUAAAGGGCCAGUAAGAAAACCCUAGUGAUAAUUAAGAACUGUAAUGCCUAAUAUGAGAUACUAAUUUAGUUUGCUGUGUGUCGUGCAACCUGUUUUCUGCAACCUACUAAUCUUUAGUAACUCCAAUUUUAUUCAAAAUGGUUUUAGAGUGGAUUAUUUUGUGGAAACUGAGGAAAGCAUUGACGUUUUGUAUCUAGAUUAAUGUGAGGGUGGAAGAGAGAUAGCUGGUAUGGGAAUAAAAUCUUGCAGGCAGAGGUGACCAGAGAAUAUAGUCCCACCUAGAAAAUUGCAGAUGUCUUCGUGAGAGAUUUGCAUUUCCAUUAAACAUGGGGUUUGGGGGUUCCUCGCUAAUCUUAUCUGGGUCUUCCCAGAGCAGGGAAGGUCAGGUGGGAGGUUCCCAAGUGACAUUGUUAUGGGGUCUUAUCCACAAACCCAGAACAAUGUGAUGAAGUAAUGGUGAAUGAGCCAUUUUAAUAAAUCUGUGAGACCCUGGAAGAAAGAAGAGUCUGGAAUGGGUUCUUACAUACUGUUGAUUGUACCCCUGAGAUGAUGUGAUGACCUCAUCCAGCUCUCAACAAUGGCUCCCUUUUGGCUGGAGGGUAUUUGACUGCCUCAGAGAGAUCUGGAAAACACAAUUCCUUGGUUUCAUCUGUGGCCAAUUGUAACUCAGAGAUGGCUGUCUUGUCUGAUGAAAAUUCUUUUCUGAGGAGAAUUCUGAGACAAGCAACUCCUUUGUUUGUGGAAAUUAGUUUUGGAAAUGACACAUGAAAUUUCUACUCUAAAACAGUACUAUCUAAUCCCAGGUGGGUAAAAAAUAUGUAUGUAUAUUUAACAGUUCUCUGAAAAAAUAUAGGAAACGAGAGUACCAAAAUAUUAAUUAACUAAAGUAAGGGGUUCCCUCCUAGUUUUCUUAGCAUCCUGUCCUGUACUUGUACGUUGUAGCAUUUAUGAAAAUUGAAAUUAAUUAUUUGUGUGGUUGGUUAUGAAUUUCUUUCCUAGAACAUGGAGCAUCUCUCCUGCCUCCAGGCCCAGGGUGGUGUAAACGAAACCUCUGAAUGAUAGACUGAGAGGUGUUUAUUUUCUUCUUUCUGAUUUUCUCUGCUUUUACAGCUUCUACAAUGAACGUAUUAUCUUUCCUGAUUACAACAUAUAAAUCUUACUAAAAUGAACCAUGCAUAAUUAAGUAUUCUAUAUUACUUUUAGGAAAUUAUAUUUGUGCAGCUGAAGAAAAGACCUACAUGGAAAGAACUAGAAAAGAAAGAGAUUGAGGAAUGUAUAUAAAGGGUAGGUUUCCAGUCCUGCAUCUAAGAGCAUGAUUAGUAGAGGAGAACCUAAGGAGAGCCCAAAGUGUGCUGCGAAUGAGUGGAGUCCGUACUCACGGGGUGAGAGUUUCUAAUGAACACCUUUUGGGGUUAUCUGAAGAGAAAAAGAAUGUUCUCGGUUCCAGAUGCAGCUGUGGGGGUCUCGAAAGCUGCGGAAGAGAGGCAAGCAGAAUCUAGCUGGGCUCCCGACUCCGAUUGCUGGAGUGCCAGGUGAUCCCCAGCCGGGCUGGUCCAUCCGUCCCGUGUCUGCCCUUCCUCCCGGGGAGCCUGCCUCGCUGCUGACGAGACGGAGGCAGAGAGCCGUGAAACCGAGUCGCGUUAGCACCCCACGAUGAAGAGAUCACGCACAUGCUUUCAAGGUGAUGUGAAGACAUGACUAAAAGGUUUCGAAACGUUCCAGGUAGAAAUCUCCUUAGACGGCAUGGACGGGGCCAGGGAGGGGCCAUCUCCAUGGGGGAGUUGCAGUCCUCAGCCCUGCCCAGCCUGACCUUGCAUAACGUAGCAUGUCCCUUGAUGGGGACGCGCAGUUCCCCGCCUUCUGUGUAUGCAAAAGCGGUAUUGACUUAUUGCUAAUGGGGAAUCGGCUCUGAUUUCCAUUUCACAGACCCUGUCAUCUGCUGUACUGUUCAGCAACAAACACGGGGUCAGCUGUCCCCAACUUUCUUCCCUUUUGUGCUGGUGUUAAAAAAAAAAAGGCUUCCAGUUUUCCCAUUUUUCUUUUAUCUGGAUUUGAUAUCCUGCCUGCGACCCAGGCCUUUCAGAGAGCUCCUGUUGAUCAUAUACUUCUUCAGGUUUCUUUUUUUUUUUCAUGAAAUUUGGGAAAAGGUAAUUGUAUACAACUGUAAUCUGCUUUGUCCAUGAUGGCAGCCACUGGCUGCAUGUGGGUGCUGAUCACUUGAAGUGGGGUAGCCUGAGCCGUGUGUGCUGGAAGAGUAAGGCACAUGUCAGCUGACAAUACUUAAUACAAAAAAAGGUAAAAUAUCUCAUUAAUGACUUUGUAUUGAUUACCUAUUGAAUAUUUGGGAUUAACUAAAGUCUGAUAUCAAAAUUAA